rnacentral:rRNA from 1 species
UACGUAGGGUGCAAGCGUUAAUCGGAAUUACUGGGCGUAAAGCGUGCGCAGGCGGUUUUGCAAGACAGAUGUGAAAUCCCCGGGCUCAACCUGGGAACUGCAUUUGUGACUGCACGGCUGGAGUGCGGCAGAGGGGGAUGGAAUUCCGCGUGUAGCAGUGAAAUGCGUAGAUAUGCGGAGGAACACCGAUGGCGAAGGCAAUCCCCUGGGCCUGCACUGACGCUCAUGCACGAAAGCGUGGGGAGCAAACAGG